AUCACAGCAGCAAACCAAAGGGACCAGAUGCAAUACAUUGUCGUCUGGGACAAUGUAGCUUUCCAUCGUUCUGCUCUGAUAAUUUUGAGUAAU